UGCUACGGUUGAACGUUUCUGAUAACUCUGUUAGGUGGGUUAUACACUCGGUUUUUUUUCUUCUGUGGAAGUUGCAAUUUUUUUGAAAUUUUAGAUAUCUUUAAAUUAAGACGGUAAAUUAAGUAAGGUGGUAUAAGUAAUCGAUAUAGAUAUGAACAUAUACGAUUCGGAAAAUCCGUGUUUCAACUUUGAAGAUGAGAAACUUUGUGGAAUUUGUGGAAACAAACCACAAGUUACUCCUAUGGAUUCCAUGAAACAAAAUAUUUUUCCCGAUGUAUCCAUACCUAUAUAUAAAGUACUUGAAUCAAUUUCCAAGGUAUGAUAACAAUUGUUUUUGGUUAUAGUAAAUUAAACUGCAUAUUGAACUCUUAUUUGGAUAUUUGAGUAUUGCUUUCGAAUAGCCCACAUUAUUUUUAUCAUUUUUUAAGGGAGGCGCUUGUGGGAUGUAAAUGUUUCUUUUUUCAGUAUUUUUAUUUUUCUAAUGUCCGUACUUUGUGAAGAAUGAGCCGAUUAUAACAUUUUCUUUCUUUGAAUUUUACUUCAAAAGUACGCAUUUUAAUAAGUAUUAUUGAAGAAAAAUGUACAUCGUAGUUUUACGUAAUUUUCAACUCUUGUAUAAACAUUUUAUAUUAAAACUGAAAAUACGAUUUCAAUAUUUUUCAACUAUUUUUAUUGCAAACGUGUGCAUUAGUAUGUAGAAGUGUGUAGAAAAGAAAAUUUACAAGAAAAACUAUUCCCUAUGUUACAUAUUUAACAUUUAUUUUAUGAAUCCGCAGUUUUUACAAACAAAUAACUCAAAUUUUCAGUUUAAGUUUUCCAAUGAUGACCCAAGAUUUAUUUGCGACGCUUGUUGCAACAGAGCAAGGGAUGCAUUUGGAUUCCAACAGAUGUGCAAUAAGGCACAAUCUUUUUUUGAUACAUAUACCCUCGAUCAACAACAACUCCAGAAGAAGGGUCAUUCGGACACUGAAGAGACGAACGUUGACAUAAAAACCGGAAUUGAAUCAGAGACUGAAGCUCUCGACAAUAAACUUGUUGUGCAAUCAUCCAAACGAGUACAGAUAUAUCCUACGGAAAUAUGUAAAGUGUGCAAUAAAAGUUUCCAAUCCAAAAAUAUGAAAAAACACAUGCGUAGACAUUCCAUCAGGGUAUUCAAGUGUAACUAUUGCGAAAUUAAUUUUAGUUCACGAGCGAAAAGGAGAUGUCAUGUUAAAACAGUACACUAUCAAAUCGCACUCAUCAAGAAUAGACGCAAGUUCAAGUGUAGAUUCUGCCGCAAAAUCUUCUUUAGUAGGAAAUUGAAGAGCCAUCAUGAACAUCAAAAACAUUAUAGCGAUAAGGAAUAUAAGUGCAUAUACUGUGAAGCAAUAUUCUAUUCAGAAAAGAUGCAUACUAGGCAUCUUGCAAUGGUGCACAAUCGUUUGGCGUUUGUCUGCGAACUCUGCGAUAAGAGUUUCAAUUUUGAUGCCGAACUAAAGGUACACUUGAAAGUUCACGUCAACCCUAGGUCACACGAGUGCCAAGAGUGUGGUGAAAGUUUUACUCGAGCAUUGUACUUAAAAGAGCAUAUAGCAGCUUAUGAAGCAACCGGAAAUUGCCUUCGUGACUGAAUAUUAGCGAGAACAGCAGUGAUAGAUUAAUCAAAUGAUAGUUUUAAGUGUAAAGUUUUUCGGGAGUGUUGAAAAAUUCUUUGGAAUGUGAUAUUCCUUUUCCGCAUUUCAACUUUGCCACCAUGUACCUUGGCAACUCGUGCUGUCAUAUUGAAAACUGCUAAAUUAGCUCAACGCAAUGCAAAAAGUCAAAAAUUUAUGUUUCGACUAUAAAGUAUAAGUAGUAACAGAGUUAA